UGGGGAAUAUUGCACAAUGGGGGAAACCCUGAUGCAGCAACGCCGCGUGAAGGAUGAAGGUUUUCGGAUCGUAAACUUCUAUCAACAGGGACGAAACAAAUGACGGUACCUGAAUAAGAAGCCCCGGCUAACUACGUGCCAGCAGCCGCGGUAAUACGUAGGGGGCAAGCGUUAUCCGGAAUUACUGGGUGUAAAGGGGGCGUAGGCGGCACGUCAAGCCAGAUGUGAAAGCCCGGGGCUUAACCCCGUGGAUUGCAUUUGGAACUGGCGAGCUAGAGUACAGGAGAGGAAAGCGGAAUUCCUAGUGUAGCGGUGAAAUGCGUAGAUAUUAGGAAGAACACCAGUGGCGAAGGCGGCUUUCUGGACUGAAACUGACGCUGAGGCUCGAAAGCGUGGGGAGCAAACAGGAUUAGAUACC
rnacentral:rRNA from 1 species